UGCUCUUCUGACCACCUGUUGUCCAUCAUAUGUCUGUCCGUAUGUCUGUAAACUUUUCAAAUUUUUUACUUCUUCUCAAGAACCACUGAUGAUGUCCAAAAAAAAGUAGUCUUCUUUUAUGUAUUUUUUAAGGUAUUAUCAAAUCUGGGAAUUUAUAAGAGUUUUGCAGUAUUUUUGGAGUUCAUAUUUAAACAUUUCGAAAUAGAAUGAUACAAGAACUACUGUUCGAGUGAAUGAUGUCGCCCAUGGGCCUCUAGUUAUAUUUAAAGGCCAAUAAAACACAAUAAAAGAAUACCCAAAAUUAAAACUU
rnacentral:sRNA from 1 species